rnacentral:lncRNA from 1 species
CCCAGGUGCACACCAUGCUGACGUGUGGCCUGACAAGCGGUGUUAGGUCUGCACCUGGGAUCCGAACCUGUGAACCCCAGGACGCCAAAGUGGAGUGCCUGAACUUAACCACUACACCACCAGGCCAAGAGAUGGGACACAGCCAUGGCAGGCUGAGGAGUCCCCACCCUGCAGACCUCCGCCCCUUACACUGGUGCUCCCAGGGAGCACGACGAGGGGUGUGAACUGAGGAGGAGAGGCCAGCUGGCUUCCUGCUCCCACACUCUGAGGCCAGGCAGCUACAGAUCGCAGCCUACCGAACCAAUGGAAGUCAGCAGCUCCAUAUCCACCUGUGGUCCUGAAGACGACCCCCACAAGAGUCCUGACCUCGCUUUCAAAUGGAGGGAAAGGGGGUCCAGGCAGGGGCGACACACCCACACUCCACAGCUUCCAAGCAAUGGUCAAGACCUGAACUCGAGUCCCAGACCCCACAUCCGUGCCCUCGAAGCCCCAGAGAAGAGCAGCCCUCCAUUAUCAUCUCUGAUGGAGAGGAAUUGCCCUUGAGCCAGAGCCAAUAAAGUGACUUAAUCCUCUCCACUUCCGCACAAAGCACUUGUCUUCAUUACGGCUGUCGGAAUCUCCAAGUAAAUUAGUCACCGGGGAAGGCUGUGGGCCACGGAAAGUAAUAAAACAUACUGACACUGGCAAGAGUUAAUUAAAGCUUUUACAAGAGUUUGAGCCAAACCCCAAAGCAUGGAGAAACUAAUGAAAUUCACACUCAUCCCCAGCCUGGUCAGCUACAUAGGUACUAAUAAGCCAUUGACAAUUAAUGCAAGUUUACUCUUUCUUUAAUGACAAUUGGAAACGUGGAGUAUGAAAGACAGCGUUCCCCAGUCUACAGAAAGAGACGAGGGCCUUCUUGGACAGACAUGUUUGCUUUUUGUCCACAACAUUUUAGCUUUGGGUGGUGAGAAAAUAAACUGGGCAAAGAAAGGUUAUUGUGUGUGACAGUUCAUCCACGUCUAAUAAUGACACCUCCCUCUGGGGCCUUGGCCAGGAUCCCGAGUCCUGAGGGUCAGCAGAGCCAGUGGACACUCAGGUAGAGAGGAAAGCCACAAGGAAGCCGGGAGGACGACUUGAGCCGGGCCCUGAGGAGACAGGCAGCCUGCCAAACACCACACACAGAGGAGAACAAGUCGCCACAGGGAAAACCCUGCCCCCACGGCCAGCGGCCAGGCGUCAGGGCCACCUAGGAGAGGGCAG